UACGGAGGAUCCAAGCGUUAUCCGGAUUCAUUGGGUUUAAAGGGUGCGUAGGCGGAACGAUAAGUCAGUGGUGAAAGCCUGCAGCUUAACUGCAGAACUGCCAUUGAUACUGUCGAUCUUGAGUAUAUUUGAUGUGGGCGGAAUGUGUCAUGUAGCGGUGAAAUGCUUAGAUAUGACACAGAACACCGAUUGCGAAGGCAGCUCACAAAACUAUAACUGACGCUGAGGCACGAAAGCGUGGGGAUCAAACAGG
rnacentral:rRNA from 1 species